UUGAGGGUUGCUAUUAUGAG
rnacentral:siRNA from 1 species